UACGGAGGGGGCUAGCGUUGUUCGGAAUUACUGGGCGUAAAGCGCACGUAGGCGGCUUUGCAAGUCAGAGGUGAAAGCCCGGGGCUCAACCCCGGAAUUGCCUUUGAGACUGCAUCGCUAGAAUUGUGGAGAGGUAAGUGGAAUUCCGAGUGUAGAGGUGAAAUUCGUAGAUAUUCGGAAGAACACCAGUGGCGAAGGCGGCUCACUGGUCCGGUACUGACGCUGAGGUGCGAAAGCGUGGGGGAGCAAACAGG
rnacentral:rRNA from 1 species